GAGCGGUCUAUGGUGUUCCAGGCCAGCGUUCCGAAGACAAGAGGCCCACAGAGGAUUAGGGAUUUCAGACAGUGCUUAUCAACUGUUCUCCACCUCCUGUAAAACGGAACUACAGGAAACUGCCCGGCCAGAAGAAAGACAUGAACCCUGCCAACAAGCAGAUGAACGGGCUUGGAAAGGGAUCCAGCUCCAGUUGAGCCUUCAAGUACUGCGUGACAGCGCGAUCGCAGACCCGGGCUCCAGACCUGCAAGGAUGUGGAGGAGCAUCCAGAGAAGCCAAAGGAGCCACCUCUGCGUUUCUGAUCCACGGAAACCAGGAGAGAACAUCUGGUUCUUGGUUUAUGCCACUAAGUCAUAGGGUAAUUAAUUUUAGGGAAGCUCUGAUUCAUGAGUCUGAUUUGAGAAAGUAA